GCGCCCGUAGCUCAGCUUGGCAAACUUUGCUACUCCAAAGUUUGAUCAAAAGAGGUCUGUGACGAAGUUUGAGCAAAUAGAGCACUUCUCUCCUAAGGAAGGGGCCGCGCGUUCGAAUCGCGCCGGGCGCG
rnacentral:tRNA from 1 species